AUGGACCAUAUCAUGAACAAAAGAAGUCAAGUCUUCUUUCUCGAUGCUCCAGGAGGCACUGGGAAGACAUACUUGUUCAAGGCAUUGCUUGCUAAGGUGCGUUCGAUGGGUGAGAUAGCCAUUGCCACCGCUACAUCAGGUAUAGCAGCCUCGAUAUUACCUGGAGGGCGUACUGAGGACAUCUCGCUUUCCUUCAAGCUUAAGAGGAAACAAUUCCCCAUCCGCCUAAGUUUUGCGAUGACCAUUAACAAGGCGCGGGGCCAGACCAUCCCAAAUGUUGGCAUUUAUCUUCCCGAGCCGGUGUUCUCCCAUGGUCAGCUGUGUGUUGCCUUGUCAAGGGGUGUAUCAAGGCGGACGACGCGAAUUUUGGCCAAGCCGAACAAACAGAUUGAUAAAUCAGGAAAAAGCACCAAGAAUAUUGUCUAUAGAGAUGUUUUAGAGGGUUGA
rnacentral:rRNA from 1 species